UGGGAUGUUGCCAAGAGGUAAGGCGCCGGAUUCUGAUUCCGGUAUUCCAGGGUUCGAAUCCCUGCAUCCCAG
rnacentral:tRNA from 1 species